GAUGAACGCUGGCGGCGUGCCUAAUACAUGCAAGUCGAGCGCUGAAGCGAGGAGCUUACUCUUCUUGGAUGAGCUGCGAACGGGUGAGUAACGCGUAGGUAACCUGCCUUUUAGCGGGGGAUAACUACUGGAAACGAUAGCUAAUACCGCAUAAUAUUGGAUGACACAUGUCUUUUAUUUGAAAGGGGCAAUUGCUCCACUACAAGAUGGACCUCCGUUGUAUUAGCUAGUAGGUGAGGUAAUGGCUCACCUAGGCGACGAUACAUAGCCGACCUGAGAGGGGGGAUCGGCAAACUGGGACUUAAACACCGCCCAAGCUUCCAAGGGGAGCAACAAUAGGGGAACCUCCGGAAAUGGGCGAACGCUUGACGGGGCAACCCGGCUGGGGUGAGGAAGUUUUCCGGAUCGAAAACCCUGUUGAUAAGGGAAAACGAAUGGGGGAAGGAUAUGUGCACACUGUGACGGUAGCUUACCAGAAAGCGACGGCUAACUACGUG
rnacentral:rRNA from 1 species